CCUACGGGAGGCAGCAGUGAGGAAUAUUGGUCAAUGGACGAGAGUCUGAACCAGCCAAGUAGCGUGAAGGAUGACUGCCCUAUGGGUUGUAAACUUCUUUUAUAUGGGAAUAAAACGUUCCACGUGUGGGAUUUUGUAUGUACCAUAUGAAGAAGGAUCGGCUAACUCCGUGCCAGCAGCCGCGGUAAUACGGAGGAUCCGAGCGUUAUCCGGAUUUAUUGGGUUUAAAGGGAGCGUAGGUGGAUUGUUAAGUCAGUUGUGAAAGUUUGCGGCUCAACCGUAAAAUUGCAGUUGAAACUGGCAGUCUUGAGUACAGUAGAGGUGGGCGGAAUUCGAGGUGUAGCGGUGAAAUGCUUAGAUAUCUCGAAGAACUCCGAUUGCGAAGGCAGUUCACUGGACUGCAACUGACACUGAGGCUCGAAAGUGUGGGUAUCAAACAGGAUUAGAUACCCGAGUAGUC
rnacentral:rRNA from 1 species